UACAGAGGUGCCAAGCGUUAGGCGGAAUCACUGGGCUUAAAGCGCGUGUAGGCGGGUCGUUAAGUGUCUUGUGAAAUCCCACGGCUCAACCGUGGAACUGCUGGGUAUACUGGUUGUCUUGAGCCAGCUAGGGGCGAGCGGAACAGACGGUGGAGCGGUGAAAUGCGUAGAUAUCGUCUGGAACGCCGAAGGUGAAAACAGCUCGCUGGGGCUGCGCUGACGCUGAGACACGAAAGCCAGGGGAGCGAACGGG
rnacentral:rRNA from 1 species